UACGUAGGGUGCGAGCGUUGUCCGGAAUUAUUGGGCGUAAAGGGCUCGUAGGCGGUUUGUCGCGUCGGGAGUGAAAACACCGGGCUUAACUCGGUGCUUGCUUUCGAUACGGGCAGACUAGAGGUAUGCAGGGGAGAACGGAAUUCCUGGUGUAGCGGUGAAAUGCGCAGAUAUCAGGAGGAACACCGGUGGCGAAGGCGGUUCUCUGGGCAUUACCUGACGUGAGGAGCGAAAGUGUGGGGGAGCGAACAGGG
rnacentral:rRNA from 1 species